rnacentral:sRNA from 1 species
UUAGAUAAUUAGCACCAUGGAGCCUCAGGUGUCAAAUGGUCCGACAUCCAAUACAAGCAAUGGACCCACUAGCAACAACAGAAACUGUCCUUCUCCCAUGCAAACAGGGGCAACCACAGAUGACAGCAAAACCAACCUCAUCGUCAACUAUUUACCCCAGAAUAUGACCCAAGAGGAAUUCAGGAGUCUCUUCGGGAGCAUUGGUGAAAUAGAAUCCUGCAAACUUGUGAGAGACAAAAUUACAGGACAGAGUUUAGGGUAUGGAUUUGUUAACUAUAUUGAUCCAAAGGAUGCAGAGAAAGCCAUCAACACUUUAAAUGGACUCAGACUCCAGACCAAAACCAUAAAGGCCACUGUUUACCUCUGCUUCAGCUUGCUUUGAUAAGUGACAUGAGAUUUAUCUCUUUGCUCUGACUCCCAUGAAGGAGUAGUUAACUUGCCUAUCUGGAAAAAAACCAAACAUCUUCUUUGGAAGUGUACAUUAUAGAGGUCUCAGGACCAUCUAGUACAUGUUUGUAAACUUUGGUCAAAUUUCCCCCUCCUUUUCAAAUUUCUGGAGUGCAAAACACUCUACUUUAAAUGUUAUGCACAAAAUAGGUUCAGGCAAAUCAAUAGUUAAUUCCAAAGCUGUGAAGGUUAAUGAUUAACAGCUGGAUUCAGGGAAGGUUCUGGAAAGCUCUAAGGGAGUGGCGGAGACUGUAGUGAGCUGUAAAGAGGACAGCUAUUCUGCUGCUGCUGCUAACUGUUUAAACCCAGAUUGUUGCCAGAUCUACUGGUUGUUCAAUACACAUGAAAAUCUAGAUUUUUUUCAUGCCAAUCUCCCAAUUUUUAAAAGCUAGAAAAUAACUCAAAGAAUUUCAAGAAUUAUGUAGGUGAGCCAAACAGAACUUAAUAGUUGACCUUUUGACAGGCAGUUUGCAAACCACCCCCCAACCCACCCCCACCAAAAAAAAAAAAUGAACUCAAAUUUAAAUAUGAAAAACAUCGUUUUGCCAAUUCAUAGUGAAUGGCUCAUUACAGGUCCACUACAGGCAGAGCAUCCCAAAUCGGAAAAUCUGAAACCCAAAAUGCUCCAAAAUUUGAAACUUUUUGAGCACCUACAUGACACUCAAAGGAAAUGCUCAUUGGUGCAUUUAGAUUUCAAGUUUUUAGAUUAAGGAUGUUGAAUCAGUAUAAUGCAAAUAUUCCAAAAUCUAAAAUUUGUGGUCCCAUUUCUGAUAAGGGAUACUCAACCUGUACUAGGAGGUACCCACAAAUGAUGGUUCCCAGUCAACAAAUAUCCAUUUCCCUUUUAUUAGGGGCAGUGUUACGUGACUGUGUGUGAAUACUGACAGCAUUCAGAGAGCAAUCUGACCUCUGUUCUCCAGGAGCAUGCAAUCUAGGCAUCGGCACAGCACCAAAGCAGAGAAAGAGUAUGAUGUGUAAUUAAGCUUCCAAUGCAUAGUGUGGAUGGUGACUCCAGGGGAAUUGUUCUUUGGGUUAUAACUUCUUUAGUGGGAGAAAGUUCCCACCACACAUCUUGGAGAUCAGGCUCAGAGACAUGAAAUGACUUGUCCAAAGCCAUACAACAGGCCAGCAGUGGAGCUCAAGUUAGCUUCAAAAGGGCCUCUGAAGGAUUCUGCCAGAAAAGGAGCUACUUAAUAUGUUAGCAUGAGCUUGAAAUAAUAAUAAUAAAGAUUAAUAGUAAUGCUAAUUUAUAGUGAGUAUUCACUCUGUAUCUAAUACUGUUAUAACCCUUUUACAUGCUUGAUAUUGUUUCAUCUUUGAAAUAUCCCUGGAGCUAGGUGCUUUACACACAUCAACUCUAAUUCUUAAAAUAGCCCUGUCAGGAGGUACUAUUACCUCCUUUAUACAGGUGAGGAAACUGAGGCCCAAGGAGGUUUAGAGACACACCCAGGAUGACACAAUUAAUAAGCGAGACUUGGAGUAAGAAAAAAUGUUUUAAAAAUAACCCUCUGGCAGUAGGUCGUAAGUGUUGGAAUGUCACACUGCCUGCUUGCUCAGCAACAUGUGCAUUCUGUGAGGGUGUGUGGGUGUGUAUUUGGCUCUGUGCACACAUGGGUUAUACUCUCUGUCAUGGGAAGGAGAAUAAAAAGCAAACAAAUGAA